AAAAAAUCUGGACACGCCCACUCCGCCCACUCUCCCUCCCUCUCAGUUCUGCUGGCCUUAUCUCUUCUAUCUUCUAUUUGUCUCCCCACCGCUGCCGUCCAUGGACCUCCCGUCGAUUACGGCGAUGGAGUCCCUGGGCGUGCUGCUGCUGCACCCCAUGAACGGCUACCUGGAGCAGGAGCUGGACCGCGUCUUCCGCUUCUGGGACUCCCCUCCAGACGGGGGCGCCGAGUUCCUCCGUGCGGUCGUCGGCAACGCCGGAUACAACGCCGACGCCGCGUUCAUCGAUGCGUUGCCGUCCCUCGAGAACGUUGCGUCCUCCGUGGGGAUCGACCGCGUCGACCUCACCAAGUGCCGCGAGCGCGGGAUCCAUGCUCACUGACAUGCUCACCGACGCCGUCGGCCUCGUCAUCUCGGCGGUAAGGAAGAUCACGCAUGGUGACCGCUAUGUGCGCGCCGGCUUGUGGAAGGCCAAGAGGGACUACACGGUACACACUCACCACGCGGGUUAACAUGAUGCAUGAGUAGUCUCGUGACGAAGACCUUUAACUAUGAUGUCAUCUACUCUCAUUUGUGACAUUGGAAAUUGUUUGCGUUUCAUGACCAAGAGGUACAACAACAGCUCUCAGUCUCCCUGCAAUUUCUACCAUCUGAUAUGCAUCAUUCCUAUGCAACCAAUUGGAUUCAUCAAUGUUUCCUAAAAUAUUGUCCUCGUGAGGAGGGAUCCCUUCAUGUGAUUGGGAUGAAGUUGGCAUGUUUGAUAAGCCUGCAAGAAAUUUGGUGUCACCACAUCAGUGCAUAUAUUAAUAUACUCCAUCCGUCCUAAAAUAAGUGUCUCAACUUUGUACUAACUUUAGUGCAAAGUUGUAUUUAAGUUGAGACACUUAUGUUGGGACGGAGGGAGUAUCUCUUAAUAAUAUGCGAGAUAAUAAAAGGAAAUGACUAUUUGAUGGUAGCACACAACCUGCAAAUGAUAUUGUUUGUAGCUGGCUGACACCCGAUUGUCCUGUAGCUGGUGUGCGUGACACAUUGUCAACACUGUUAACGGUGGCAAUAGAUGUCUUUGACUGUUCACGGGAUUGGCGUUUUCUUAAUAUUUCAUCCCUGUUCUGUGCAUACCGCUCCCUGUCCCUUUGCCUCCUUAACUCUUUAGGGUCUACAUAGAUGCAAAAAGCUAAUUAGCUUCAACAGUUAGGGGCAUAUGUAAUGCGUUGAUUGUCAUUACCAAUGGAUGUGGACAUCGGUGUUUGUGUUUCAUCUUUCUGGGCACCGGUCCCUGUAGAAGCCUGAGACAAUUUUUUCUGACCGUAGGCUUGACGUUGUCUUUGUAAUAUGUCAUCCCUAUUUUGUGAAUACCGUUCCCUUUCCAGUUGCCUCUUUUGCUCCAUAUGAUCUACAUCUAUGAUACAUUAUAGUUAUAAUUCAGAGUCUCAAAAUGUUACCUGAACAACAGAACAUAAGCCAACAGUACAAGGUUAUUUUUACUUUGGGUCAUGGCCAGGGGUGUAUGUGGCACACUUUGCUGGUCAUUAGGCAGCGCUUUUGGAGUCCUGUUAUUUUGGCGUGCAUCACGACGCCGUUUGAGAAUGGCAUCUUUAUUUCGUGCAUAGUAUUCUCUGUCCCGCUGCCUCUUCAAUUCCUUAGGGUCUGUAUAAAUACAAACAGAAAGUUAGCGCAUAAACAAUAACAGUGUUCAUCAUUCAAGAAAUACCAACGUGGUGAGCUUCCCUUCCCUUCCCCUCUCCUCUCCUCUCCCCCACAUCUCUCUGGAUGUUGCCUAAUUAAGUUUCAGAAUUCAGAUGGUCUGGAUGCUGCCUAAGUUUCAGAAUUCAGAUGGCAUGGCGUUUUGGAUCAUAUUUUGGCUGUGAUGGAGUUUGUCGAGUGUCGCCUGGCACCUGGCAGGGUCUUGUCGUCCAACUUGUUGGCCCGAACGCCGAUCAUUUGCAUGAGAAAACUCUGUUUGUGCGUGUGAGCGCAUCACUGUUUUGGUACACUUUUGCAUGACUGAAACACAACCAAAUUGCGUGUGUGUGUGCGCGCGCGCGCGUGCGCGCAACUAUGCAUCCAUUGGAUGUAUGCAUGCAUCACAUCUUUGCACGUUUUGGUGCUUCAGUUUUGGAUGACAUGACGUUUUGGUUCAGUUUUGGCUCACCAUGUUUGAAUCAGAUUAAUAUAUACUACGUAUUUACAAGAUUUGAAUUGCAGCUGAAACUCCCUGUACUAGGAACAAAUAAGUUCACCGCAAUACUAGAUGAUUGUUACUAUGUAUGUUGUCACAGAUUUUCCGUUCAUCUACCAGUUUAACAUGAGCUGCUGAGGUUUUGUCUCAUGGAAAAAGGACCAAAUGUUGGCCUAUCUACUGUUCUGCUGAUAGAAUUUCUAUACCCCUGCAGUAACUUUGAUUCGAAUGUUUGUUUCUGUUUAAACAUGCUCUGGUAAAAUUUCUGUAAAUAACAAAGUAUUUUACA